rnacentral:lncRNA from 1 species
GGAGGACCAUGGCGCACAGGGCUUUGCCAGCGCAGGAGUGUUCUCACUGUGGCUGGGCAGUGGGGCUUUGUUCUUGCUUUGUUAACAUCCAUAGAAAGCGUCUUAGUCUCCACUGUGGGGAGGCGCUUCACUGUGUUGACAGAGUUUUCUGCUGUGUCUUGCAGGUACAUCAACCACUCCUGUGCCCCUAACUGUGUGGCUGAAGUUGUGACCUUUGAGAGAGGACACAAGAUUAUCAUCAGCUCCAACAGGAGGAUCCAGAAAGGAGAAGAGGUAAGUGGUGGAAGGGCUCGCUGCUGUUGGACAAGGGUGUAACAGUCCCUGGCCCUGCAGCUUCCGUCACAUCACUCUUAGAGACUUAUCCUCCGCUUUGCCAUUGGUUAAUGUUUCAAGUAUUCAGAUGCCAGCUUCUUCCUUGUGGUAGUCCAUGAAACUGUGAAACCCAGUGUAAAGAACCACGUGGCUUAGGAUCCUCCUUUCUUUGUCCCUUAGUCUGGACAGUCUGACGAGCCCCUUUCAAGAUGGUGCCUGCCACUGUUCUCUGGCAAUCACAGGGAUGUGAUAUAUUAAUGCAAGGACUAUAGGCAGAAGUUUUGGAAGCCAUAUGUUCCUGCCUGCUCACGUGCACACUUAGAAAAUUUCACAUCAUGUAUAUUAUGUGCGUGUUUUUCUCUUUAAACUGUUCCGUGUAGGAUGAGAGGACGCUGGUCU